rnacentral:rRNA from 1 species
ACUAAAGACCCAUGCAGCUGACCGGUACUAAUAAGCCGAUAACUUGACACCACA